rnacentral:misc_RNA from 1 species
UUAUAAUAUGCUAUCACCAGCCAGAGUGCACCGUACUGAUAAAAUCUGAUUCUGAAAUUCAUUCCUACAAGGAAACAGACAAACAGAAGCUUUAUUUAUUACAGUGAAAAAUGAUUUCACAAUCGUUUGCAGUCAUAGCGCUCCUGGGAUUAUUCAAAUAUGGGGCUUGUAUUGACUAUGAUGGAUGGCUGAACAUAAAGAUAGAACACUCAUUAAACUGUGGAGAUGAAAAUUAUUGCUCGAGGGGCAAUAUAGCUUUGAAGAGUAUUCGAGCUGGUGCCUCAGUCAUUGAUCAAAUUCCUUUUACGAAGCAGCAUAUAGAAGAAUUGAAAAGUAUUGCAGAAACUGAUGGGUUCUACACCAUAAGAACAGUGGUGACAUCUGCUGAAAAUAGUCAUGGCACUGAAUUCUUUUCAUCAGUCAAGGCUGGAGCCUUCCUUGCAAAUGGCCUGUCUGAUGUAAUUAAUGCUUGGGUAUUGCCCAAUGGAGCAGUUAUAGCUGUCAGUUUCCAAGUGACCAACUCCUCGCAGCCAUUGCCCAGAGAAGGCAACAAUUAUAGAAUUAACUCUAACUUCUACCUACGCUAUGUUGAACAAGCCCCUGUCCCUGACACAGCAUCAUACAUCCAAAAACUAGAACGUGAAAGGGAAGCAAGAGAGAAGGGUGACAUGAAAGACAACAAAUCAUUCUUAGCCAAAUAUUGGAUGUACAUUGUGCCUAUUGCAAUAUUUGUCAUGAUAUCUGGAGCAAGCAACCCAGAACCAGCUGCUCAAGGGGCACGAUAAACCAAAGAACACUACAGUACAUUAUGAACUUCAAUAACUACUAGAACACCUUUACUAUUAAGUUUAAUCUUAUUCAUGCAAGGUUAUUAUAUUCAGCAUUAUUUAAGACUGGUCAUUAUUUAAUGGUCUGAGACACAUCCAUAAUCACCUGUCUAGCAUUUUCCCUACGUUGGGUUCAGAUAUUAGUAAAGCAAACUGACGAUUGCUGAUAUAAUUUUUUAUAAUUAAGAUGGUAGGAUAAAUUGGGUAAGGUUACAUUGUAAACAAUUAUGUCAUAGAUUACAAACUUUAAUGUGUUGGUCUAAUCUAAAAGUACCUAAAAAGUACUUUUAGUUUUUUUGUGCUGUGUAGAAUAAUAGUAUUAUUUUCGGGUUAUUCCCGCUCGGUAACACCCUUUCGUGAACACUGUGGACGAUCGGGAAAAAACAGUUUCGUUCGUUCACAGUGUUGACGAACGCUAGUUAUUAUUUUUGUGUAAAAUGGUUAUUAUGCACAUGAUAAGGCCACUUUUAUUUUCUAGUUAAUUGUGUUUUAAAAGAUCUAACAUCCAUUAAAAUAUUUUAAAAAUCCAUGACAUUUUAUUUCCAUAUUUUAAAAAUAAAAACCAGCAUUCAUGGACACUGCGAAUGAAUGAAACUUUUCUCGAUCGUCAACAGUGUUGACGAAAAGGUGUUACUGACCGGGAAUAACAUUUAUUUUCAGAUUGUGUUGCAAAUGUUACUAAAUUAUUUAUGAACAUUAUAUUUCAAAAGUCUUUCACAUGUGUUGGGUUAUGCAAACAGUUGUGUGUAACUAUUUAUUAAAAAUGUAAUAUUAA